AUUGAACGCUGGCGGCAGGCUUAACACAUGCAAGUCGAGCGGAGAUGAGGUGCUUGCACCUUAUCUUAGCGGCGGACGGGUGAGUAAUGCUUAGGAAUCUGCCUAUUAGUGGGGGACAACAUUCCGAAAGGAAUGCUAAUACCGCAUACGCCCUACGGGGGAAAGCAGGGGAUCUUCGGACCUUGCGCUAAUAGAUGAGCCUAAGUCGGAUUAGCUAGUUGGUGGGGUAAAGGCCUACCAAGGCGACGAUCUGUAGCGGGUCUGAGAGGAUGAUCCGCCACACUGGGACUGGAACACGGCCCAGACUCCUACGGGAGGCAGAAGUGGGGAAUAUUGGACAAUGGGCGGAAGCCUGAUCCAGCCAUGCCGCGUGUGUGAAGAAGGCCUUUUGGUUGUAAAGCACUUUAAGCGAGGAGGAGGCUACCUGGAUUAAUACUCUAGGAUAGUGGACGUUACUCGCAGAAUAAGCACCGGCUAACUCUGUGCCAGCAGCCGCAGUAACAC
rnacentral:rRNA from 1 species